rnacentral:rRNA from 1 species
AUGUCGUCUUCAAGCGCUUCCAAGGACACGUUUUUCGAGAGGGUGAUCAACCCCUAUCUUGCGGAGGUGCUGCAUCACCCUCAAACCAUUGAGGUGCGUGAGGGGGUGUUGUACAUCCGCGAUGUGGAAGGACCAAGGCGUACCGGGAGCAUAGAGAAAAAGCUCGAAGCCAUGGAACAAGAAGUUUUCAAGUGCCAAGGGAUGGUGGAGCGUGGACUCAACGCCAACCAGAUGAUGAUCACGGAGUUCACCAACAACCACAAGCUGGAUGCCAAAGACAUUGGGGAGACCAUAUCUUCAAGCUUCAAGAGAAAAUCGAGCACCUCCAAGCCCAGAUUUAUGACCUGCAAAACCAGAACUGUGAGUAUGAAUAUAGAUUCAAGCGAAUGA